AGUAAGAUCCCUGAAAGAUGAUCAGGUAGAUAGGUCAGAGGUGGAAGUGUGGCGACACAUGGAGCUGACUGAUACUAAUCGAUCGAGGACUUAACCAA
rnacentral:rRNA from 1 species